UACGUAGGGGGCAAGCGUUAUCCGGACUCACUGGGUGUAAAGGGAGCGUAGACGGCGACGCAAGUCUGGAGUGAAAGCCCGGGGCCCAACCCCGGGACUGCUCUGGAAACUGCGUCGCUGGAGUACGGGAGGGGCAGGCGGAAUUCCUGGUGUAGCGGUGAAAUGCGUAGAUAUCAGGAGGAACACCGGCGGCGAAGGCGGCCUGCUGGACCGUGACUGACGUUGAGGCUCAAGAGCGUGGGGAGCAAACAGG
rnacentral:rRNA from 1 species